ACGACUCUCGGCAACGGAUAUCUCGGCUCACGCAUCGAUGAAGAACGUAGCAAAAUGCGAUACUUGGUGUGAAUUGCAGAAUCCCGUGAACCAUCGAGUUUUUGAACGCAAGUUGCGCCCGAAGCCAUCCGGCUGAGGGCACGCCUGCCUGGGCGUCACGCA
rnacentral:rRNA from 2 species